rnacentral:lncRNA from 1 species
GCAUUGUCUAGGGUUCUGCAUCCACCCUUCCAGGUGUGGGGUCCUGGCACUCUGUAGGUAGAGAGGCGGGUUGGUGACAAGCCAGUGGGGUCCUGGCCUGAGCACCCUUUUGCUCUGUUUACAACCCUGUGCCUGCGGGGCUGUGUCUACCCAGAGGACUGCAUAUUCUAGACCAUUCAGGGGUACUGUUCGGGGGCCAUGCCAGUGGACACCAGCCUCCAGGGACAUUUGGGGUACUUCUCAGAUUUAAGGAAAUGCACAGCCUCACUGCUCAGGUGUCCCUAUGGGUGUUCCUGGCUGGGCAGCUGGCUCAAGAAUUGUCUUGAGCCACACAUAAAAUACAAAUGGCUGGGGCCAGCAUUGCGGACAGUGAGAGAGUUUACCAAGGCAGUUAUAGGUAAAGAAAGGUAAAUUUAUUAGAGAAAGUAUGAAGAUCCGUUGCAAGGGUGCAAUGGGCAGCACAGUAGAGAAGGGGCUGCUGCACAGAGGCAGGGGCUGGAGGAAAGUUUUAUAGGGUUGUGCCAGAGGGGCUUAUGUGCAGAUAAGAUCGUACUGCUGGGGCUUCGAGUGGAACAAGGUGUUUGGAAAUAGGAUGUCAUGCCAGUGGGUUGUCUGUGAUUAGCUGGCUCUCAGAACAAUUCUUCGCCCCCACCUAGGACCCCUUCUUCAUUGUUGCUUACUUAUUAGGACUCCACGUUUUACUUCCCAAGAUCCCAUUCCUACACACAGCCUCUCCCUCUUAGCCAGAGGAGCUGUGCAAAGGAAGUACCUUUUCAUGGGUAAAAGACUCAUGGUGCGCUCACUCUUGCUGGGCUUCAGGGAUUUUUCAUUUCUAUUGCUCUAAAAGUGCCUAUGUGCCUUCCCCCUCCACCCCAUCUCCUUCCUGUUUCCAAG